rnacentral:rRNA from 1 species
UACAGAGGUCCCAAGCGUUGUUCGGAUUCAUUGGGCGUAAAGGGUGCGUAGGCGGCGCGGUAAGUCGGGUGUGAAAUCUCGGGGCUUAACUCCGAAACUGCAUUCGAUACUGCCGUGCUUGAGGACUGGAGAGGAGACUGGAAUUUACGGUGUAGCGGUGAAAUGCGUAGAUAUCGUAAGGAAGACCAGUGGCGAAGGCGGGUCUCUGGACAGUUCCUGACGCUGAGGCACGAAGGCCAGGGGAGCAAACGGGAUUAGAACCGUACCGUC